rnacentral:lncRNA from 1 species
ACUCGUGGGCAGGAAGCAAGGGCGGACCCCGAGAGAUGACUGAUUGUGGGGGUGGGGACCGUCUGCUCCUCCUAAUGGCUGGGGACCGUGCACGUCUGCGCGGGCCGGACCUGCUCUUCUCGGGAACUUGCGCGGGAGGAGGCCCGGAGCUGCGCCGCUUUACCCUCUGCUCCCCGGUGCCUAAAACGCACACGCAUCAAAGUCACAGGACGAGUUAGAGCAGUCACAUCACUGUCCUACCGAGAGUUUGGCAAAAACCCUCUUGAAUGUGGCACCAAACCCUUCCACACAUCUGACUCCCAUCGCCACAUCGGCACUGAAGCACACCCUCU